rnacentral:lncRNA from 1 species
AUGGAGCUCGUAGGAAGAGGAAGAUUUUGACUAUGUAGCACAACAGCUAGCAAGCAGUGAAGACGAGGGGAGAGCUGACGAGAACGAGGCGGCAGAUCAAAGACUCAUGAAGCCAGAGGUGGGGAGGGGGAUCAGGUUCCCGUCAUGUGAAGUUGAGUCAUCCUGGAGGCAGGGAGUAUUCCCAUGAGCCAGCAGCACUAUGGAGGUCACAUGACUGCCUGGAUUAGGUGUCAUGUUUGUAGCCGAGCUCAUCCUCUCUCAAGGGAAGUCGAGGUGGACAUCGGCCAGUUCACACCCAGCCUCAGCCCUCACCAACAACUGCAAGACAAGCCUAUUAUCAUGACAGAGGAGGACCCCGUGUCUUGCAUGCAAGGGCUACCUAUAUCUUCACUGGUUACAGCACAACCAAAGCAGAAACCCAUUCAAUAACAACCAGUCUGGUAGGUGGAAGAAUGGGAUUCCUGUUUCUGCUAAAUGACUCAUUACCUGUCAGUUCUGUCUUUCAUUAUAUACUGUAAUAGUUUAAUACAAAGCAAACUAUCAUCUGUACUGUUUUGUAUAAAUGUAUUUUCCAAACCUGGAUGUUUUUGAUCAUGUUGUCUGGCUUUUGACACAAGGUGUUCGCAAUGGCUUGUAUUCAAGAAUUCUCUUUUGAUAUAUUAAACAAUACUGAUCCCAC